rnacentral:rRNA from 1 species
CCUACGGGAGGCAGCAGUAGGGAAUAUUGCUCAAUGGGGGAAACCCUGAAGCAGCAACGCCGCGUGGAGGAUGAAGGCUUUCGGAUUGUAAACUCCUUUUGUGAGAGAAGAUAAUGACGGUAUCUAACGAAUAAGCACCGGCUAACUCCGUGCCAGCAGCCGCGGUAAUACGGAGGGUGCAAGCGUUACUCGGAAUCACUGGGCGUAAAGAGCGCGUAGGCGGGAGAGCAAGUCAGAUGUGAAAUCCUAUGGCUUAACCAUAGAACUGCAUUUGAAACUGUUAUUCUAGAGUAUGGGAGAGGUAGGUGGAAUUCUUGGUGUAGGGGUAAAAUGCGUAGAGAUCAAGAGGAAUACUCAUGGCGAAGGCGAACUACUAGACCGUAACUGACGCUGAGGCGCGAAAGCGUGGGGAGCAAACAGGAUUAGAUACCCCUGUAGUC